GUUAGCUAAUAGUACUACAGGGUCAUACCCUUUAAUAACUUGGCCUUAGCCCUUAAAAGUCAACCAGCCAUAUAUAAGUUGAGCCAAGUUAGUAUACUACUGUAGUGUAGUCUUGAAAAUCCUAAAAUGAGCUACAAUAACACAGAAGGUGAAGAAGAUUAUGAUCCAUUGUUAGUUGAACAUAAAAGUGAUGCUGUACCAUCACCACCUCAGCCAUUGCCUCAGGCUCAGCCCAUGAGUC